UACGUAGGUCCCAAGCGUUGUCCGGAUUUAUUGGGCGUAAAGCGAGCGCAGGUGGUUUCUUAAGUCUGAUGUAAAAGGCAGUGGCUCAACCAUUGUGUGCAUUGGAAACUGGGAGACUUGAGUGCAGGAGAGGAGAGUGGAAUUCCAUGUGUAGCGGUGAAAUGCGUAGAUAUAUGGAGGAACACCGGAGGCGAAAGCGGCUCUCUGGCCUGUAACUGACACUGAGGCUCGAAAGCGUGGGGAGCAAACAGG
rnacentral:rRNA from 3 species